rnacentral:rRNA from 1 species
GACGAACGCUGGCGGCGUGCCUAAUACAUGCAAGUCGAACGCACGAAGUUGAAGAGCUUGCUCUUUAACCAAGUGAGUGGCGGACGGGUGAGUAACACGUGGGUAACCUGCCCAUUAGAGGGGGAUAACAUUCGGAAGCGGAUGCUAAUACCGCAUAGUUUCAGGGAUCGCAUGAUUCUUGAAGGAAAGGUGGCUUCGGCUACCACUAAUGGAUGGACCCGCGGCGUAUUAGCUAGUUGGUGAGGUAAUGGCUCACCAAGGCAAUGAUACGUAGCCGACCUGAGAGGGUGAUCGGCCACACUGGGACUGAGACACGGCCCAGACUCCUACGGGAGGCAGCAGUAGGGAAUCUUCCGCAAUGGACGAAAGUCUGACGGAGCAACGCCGCGUGAGUGAAGAAGGUUUUCGGAUCGUAAAACUCUGUUGUUAAAGAAGAACAAGGAUGAGAGUAACUGCUCAUCCCCUGA